AAUCGAUAUCGUUGCGCA
rnacentral:miRNA from 1 species